rnacentral:rRNA from 1 species
CCUACGGGUGGCAGCAGUGGGGAAUAUUGGACAAUGGGGGGAACCCUGAUCCAGCGACGCCGCGUGAGUGAAGAAGGAGUUCGGGAUGUAAAGCUCUAUCAGCAGGGAAGAAAAAGACGGUAACUGACUAAGAAGCCCCGGCUAACGACGGGACAGCAGCCGCGGGUAUACGAAGGGGGCAAGCGUUAUUCGGAUUUACUGGGUGUAAAGGGAGCGUAGACGGGGCAGCAAGUCUGGUGUGAAAGGUCGGGGCCCAACCCCGGGUCUGCAGGGGAAACUGUUGACCUGGAGUACCGGAGAGGUCAGCGGAAUUCCUUGUGUAGCGGUGACAUGCGUAGAUAUUAGGCGGAACCCCAGUGGCGCAGGCUGCUUUCUGGACUGUAACUGCCGUUGAGGCUCGAAAGCGUUGUGAGCACACCGGCUUAGAUACCCGAGUAGUC